rnacentral:lncRNA from 1 species
GUGCAAACACACCUGCUUCAAGGUCCCAGGCACAGAAGGCUCAGAUCCGUGCACUGCCUUCAGCUCUGGGUUGAACUUACAGCUGGACUAGAGGAUGGGAAGGCAUCAAAAGGAACCCAGCCCACCAGGAACUACCAGCUUAGGUAAUCUGGCUGCCUGCCUUCUUUUUAGCAGGGUGUGUGGGAGGAAACUUAGACCAGGGGUCCAGACACCAGGGAACUGGCCCCCUCUCUGCCUCUGCAGAUGACUGGCCCAGUCCAUCUCAGAGUGGUCUGGACAAGUUGUGUCUCUUCUUAGGGCCUUAACUUGAUAGGCAUGGACGAGUUGGCCUCUGAAGUCUCUGCAAAUCACAUGUAAUUUAUGGGAAGGGGCUUGCUGUAUCGUAAAAUGCUUACAAUAAGUCAUCUGGGCCAGGUGAAGUGGCUCAUGCCUGUAAUCCCAGCACUUUGAGAGGCCAAGGUGAGCAGAUCACCUGAGGUCAGGAGUUUGAGACCAGCCUGGCCAACAUGGUGAAACCCUGUCUCUACCAAAAAGGCAAAAAUUAGCUGGGCUUGGUGGCGGGCACCUGUAAUCCCAGCUACUCGGGAGGCUGAAGCAGGAGAACCUCUUGAACCCAGGAGGUGGAUGUUGCAGUGAGUUGAGAUCAUGCCACUGCACUCCAGCUUGGGUGACAGAGUGAGACCCUGUCACAAAAAAAAAAAAAAAAAAAAAAGAGAGAGAAAAAAAAUAAAAAAAGAAAA